AGCAGCCGCGGUAAUUCCAGCUCCAAUAGCGUAUAUUAAAGUUGUUGCAGUUAAAAAGCUCGUAGUUGAAUUUCGGGGUUCUACCGUUGGUCAGGCUAUUGUUUGUACUGGCGUGUAGAAUUUCUACCUUCUGGGGAACUAUCAUGUUAUUAAUUUAGCGUGGUAGGAAACCAGGACCUUUACCUUGAAAAAAUUAGAGUGUUCAAAGCAGGCAUUUGCUCGAAUACAUUAGCAUGGAAUAAUAGAAUAGGACGUUGGUUCUAUUUUGUUGGUUUCUAGGACCGCCGUAAUGAUUAAUAGGGAUAGUUGGGGGCAUUAGUAUUCAAUUGUCAGAGGUGAAAUUCUUGGAUUUAUUGAAGACUAACUACUGCGAAAGCAUUUGCCAAGGAUGUUUUCAUUAAUCAAGAACGAAAGUUAGGGGAUCGAAGACGAUCAGAUACCGUCGUAGUCUUAACCAUAAACUAUGCCGACUAGGGAUCGGACGAUGUUAACUUUUCUUGACUCG
rnacentral:rRNA from 1 species